rnacentral:rRNA from 1 species
UACAGAGGAUGCAAGCGUUAUCCGGAAUGAUUGGGCGUAAAGCGUCUGUAGGCGGCUUUUUAAGUCCGCCGUCAAAUCCCAGGGCUCAACUCUGGACAGGCGGUGGAAACUACCAAGCUGGAGUACGGUAGGGGCAGAGGGAAUUUCCGGUGGAGCGGUGAAAUGCGUAGAGAUCGGGAAGAACACCAACGGCGAAAGCGCUCUGCUGGGCCGACACUGACACUGAGAGACGAAAGCUAGGGGAGCGAAUGGG